GCGGACGGGUGAGUAACACGUGGAUAACCUACCUAUAAGACUGGGAUAACUUCGGGAAACCGGAGCUAAUACCGGAUAAUAUUUUGAACCGCAUGGUUCAAAAGUGAAAGACGGUCUUGCUGUCACUUAUAGAUGGAUCCGCGCUGCAUUAGCUAGUUGGUAAGGUAACGGCUUACCAAGGCAACGAUGCAUAGCCGACCUGAGAGGGUGAUCGGCCACACUGGAACUGAGACACGGUCCAGACUCCUACGGGAGGCAGCAGUAGGGAAUCUUCCGCAAUGGGCGAAAGCCUGACGGAGCAACGCCGCGUGAGUGAUGAAGGUCUUCGGAUCGUAAAACUCUGUUAUUAGGGAAGAACAUAUGUGUAAGUAACUGUGCACAUCUUGACGGUACCUAAUCAGAAAGCCACGGCUAACUACGUGCCAGCAGCCGCGGUAAUACGUAGGUGGCAAGCGUUAUCCGGAAUUAUUGGGCGUAAAGCGCGCGUAGGCGGUUUUUUAAGUCUGAUGUGAAAGCCCACGGCUCAACCGUGGAGGGUCAUUGGAAACUGGAAAACUUGAGUGCAGAAGAGGAAAGUGGAAUUCCAUGUGUAGCGGUGAAAUGCGCAGAGAUAUGGAGGAACACCAGUGGCGAAGGCGACUUUCUGGUCUGUAACUGACGCUGAUGUGCGAAAGCGUGGGGAUCAAACAGGAUUAGAUACCCUGGUAGUCCACGCCGUAAACGAUGAGUGCUAAGUGUUAGGGGGUUUCCGCCCCUUAGUGCUGCAGCUAACGCAUUAAGCACUCCGCCUGGGGAGUACGACCGCAAGGUUGAAACUCAAAGGAAUUGACGGGGACCCGCACAAGCGGUGGAGCAUGUGGUUUAAUUCGAAGCAACGCGAAGAACCUUACCAAAUCUUGACAUCCUU
rnacentral:rRNA from 1 species